GACGACGCGGGUGGGGAGAGACUGUGCACCUACACGUGUCACUUCACAAAGGCCUCCAGGGGCUUAUGAUCAGGCAAAGGAGACACCAGGAAAGAGGAGCAGAGUGGCUAGGGCAGUGCACUGCAGAUGCAUGGACGAAAGCUCGCAGCGACACAGGUAUGGGGUGUCUAAUCAGGGAUGAGUGUGAGCAGCAGAAUGAGGAGCAUGCUUUCCCAGAGGAAGAGAGGAAGCCACUGGAGAGAUGAAGGAUGCCAUGGACAGGAGGUGGUGUCUCUGGAGCCGCCGAGCAGCAGCCUCAUUGCUCAGAAGAUGAAGAUGCUGACGAAGACCCAGACAGGAAAAAAGGAAGAAAAAGCAUCCUGAUUGUUCCAUUAGCAAAGCCACAGUCCCGGAGAGCAAGGGGAGGGGCACAGCAGGCAGCCGCACCCAUGGGAUGCAUCUGCAGCUUGUGAGCAAUGCAUGAAAGAUGAAUCACACAGCAGCAAUGCCUUCAGCUUCCGUGUGCUAUGGCUCACUCAGCACCAGCUCUGCAGGCUGCCUAAGCCAGAAGUCAGUCUCUGCCUUUAGACUUGCUCACUUCUUUUAGGAACGGAGAUAUCCUCUGAUCCCUUGUCCUACAACCUCGAUUAAUAUCUUUCCAACAGCCAUCUGCCAAACUCAAGAAGACCCUGGAACAACCUAAUUGGAAAAGUUUCCAUCUUAUCCCUUGGAAAACUAUAGAAAAGUAGUGUCACACAAAUGUUUAAUUUCUGAUUUCUACAAUUUCAGAUACCAGAGUUUAUCUGUUACCAUGACAACUAACAGCUUUAUAAAUGUUUUCUAGCCUCUGCUAUUUUCUGGAACUUAUCUACAUUUCAGUAUUUGCUUAAUAAUUUUGAGCUGACACUAGCAACAUAAUUGUGUCUGGAUUGUGUAUGUGUAUGUCUUGUGUGUGUUGGCAGGGGGUGGGUAUAACCUAUGUCAGUGUUUUUCAAUGUGAGCAAAUUUUAAUAAACUUUUAUAUUUAAUGUGAA
rnacentral:lncRNA from 1 species